UUCCUAAUUUUAUGUGUUCAUAGUUUCCUUAUAGUUGAUGGGUAUACAACUUGGGACGUGUUUGUACCAACCAGCAGAAGAAAAUUUUUCACAGAAGAAAAUGAUUUGAGGCCAAACACAACUGGAAAUGCAUCUUUUAGACAUGACCUUAGAAUAUCGUUGGAAAUUAUUUGGUUUGAAUUUGGUCUAUUUAUAUCUUCAUGGAUUAUGUAGCAGGGCUAUUAAUAAUGUUUAAACCUCUUAUUUCACUAGAGUGGUGAGACUUUUUAUUCCUUUUCAAUUAGUGUUUUUGUCUUAACUAUUAUAUGAUCAUAUUCAUGCUAAUUAUAAUACAGAUGAACUGUUUUUAAUGCCAGUAUGAAGGAUUAAGAACAACAUUCAAUUAAUUGAUAUGUCAGGCUUUAUCGUGCGUGGUAAAAUUUCAGGGGAUGUGAUUUGAUCUAGAAUCUAUCCAAAUCCUUAUGAGGUUUAGUUGUGACAGGAUUCUAUUAUUUUUAACCACGAGUAGUGUUUGUUUCUCCCUAUGUUAAGAAUGUUAAUAUUUUGGAUUUUAAGUGUCCAGGUUAUAAGCAGGAUUUACCUAUGCAAGAUAAAUUCUAACUGUGCAACAUUUUUAUGAAAAUUAAAAGUAUUGUUUUAAGAGGGAGACCCUCUGAAUGUUUCUAUAUGCAAGUGCCUAGCUGAAGAACCAUAGAAACAAUAAACUUAAAAGCUCUUAAAUAAGUAAACUAUAACUGAUUGAAUAUUAACCAAAUAUAAAGCAGGAAUAACUUACAUUACUUUUUGGUUGCUAUAACUAAUACCCUAAAAACUAAGAGUUGUGAAUAGGGGAAAAAAACGAAUGUUUAAUUGACAUGGAAAUUGAUUUUUAUUACAUUUGCAUCUAUUUUCUAAGAUUGCCAAUUAGAAUUAAAAAAAAAACUAACAUAGACCUUAUGGCACUUAAGCCCCAAAUACUUUGUACAAUUGAUUGAAUGGCUCACUUAAAUGUAUUGAAUUUCCUUUUACUCUUAAAAUGUACUUCCUUUUAGAAUUACCCCAUUUUAAAUGGGUAACUUUCAGAUUCUGAACUUAGUAUUUUUCCCAAGCGUUCCAGGGUUGCAUUAUAAAAGAUCAAAAGAUUUCCAGGUAGUAAUACAAUUUUCUUUAAAACAUGGACACUUUAACUGUUAGGUUUAACAUUAAUGUUAGUAUUUUUACAAUAAAUCACAGAAAACAAUAAUGGUUUUCAUUAAAAACUUUUUCAAAUAUUUUAUCCUCAGUUUGAUUGCAAACACUUUCCUCCAUUAUUUGUGAUAUAUCCUUCUGUUUAAUUUUUUCCUUCUAGCAUAAUGUUUAGGAAA
rnacentral:lncRNA from 1 species